rnacentral:rRNA from 1 species
UACGGGGGGGGCAAGCGUUGUUCGGAAUUACUGGGCGUAAAGGGCUCGUAGGUGGCCAACUAAGUCGGACGUGAAACCCUCGGCUUAACCGGGAACUGCGUCCGAUACUGGUUGGCUUGAGUUUGGGAGAGGGAUGCGGAAUUCCAGGUGUAGCGGUGAAAUGCGUAGAUAUCUGGAGGAACACCGGUGGCGAAGGCGGCUCACUGGUCCAUUACUGACGCUGAGGUGCGAAAGCGUGGGAGCAAACAGG